rnacentral:rRNA from 1 species
UGCCAGCCGCCGCGGUAAUACGGAGGGUGCAAGCGUUGUUCGGAAUUAUUGGGCGUAAAGAGCAUGUAGGCGGACUGUUAAGUCUGGCGUGAAAGCCCGGGGCUCAACCCCGGAAGUGCGUUGGAUACUGGCAGUCUUGAGUAUGGGAGAGGAAAGUGGAAUUCCGAGUGUAGGAGUGAAAUCCGUAGAUAUUCGGAGGAACACCAGUGGCGAAGGCGGCUUUCUGGACUGUAACUGACGCUGAGGCUCGAAAGCGUGGGGAGCGAACAGGAUUAGAUA